AAUUUCUGUGCAAUGAGAGAAAAGCAUGAAGCAUAGAAGCAGUAAAGUGAAAUAUUCGCUGCUGCCUUUUGAUCAAGUACCUUUAAGUUUUUGUGGCAAUAACACAUGCCUAUUUCAUUGUGGACUUUCCAGAGGGAUUAGGGAAGAUAUUUGAUUUCUUCCAUUGAUGAAUGGAAGGGAUAUACUUUCAUACGAAUUUCAGAUCUCCUAAUUCAAGUUACUUUCCCUUUCGCGCUAAUACAUGCAUUGUUAGCUUAACAGCUUAAACGAUGGGAAUGGAAGGAAUGUUAGCCGAACAGCCUCCUGGCUUUACAUAAAAUGCAUGUUAAGGUCGGAGAUGCCAUUAAAGUAAUAACUGGCCAUGAUAAGGGAAAAAUUGGAGAGUUAACCAAGAUCUUUAAGCAUAACAGCACCAUUGUAGUGAAAGAUAUAAACCCGAAGACUAAGCAUAUGAAGAGCAGAGAAGAGGGUCAAACAGGACAGAUAAUUAAGAUUGAAGCGCCUAUUCACAGCUCAAAUGCGAUGCUUGAUUCUUAAGAACAAGAUGCCACUAGCUGGUUGGGUCAUAAAGUGUUAUAUAAUGGGGAAAAGGUCCGCUACCACGUAAAGACUGGAGAAAUCAUCGACAGUGAUAAAAUCUGGAAGAACUGAAGGUAGCUGAAAAAAAGAAAACUGAAGUCGUCGCCACUGUGUCUUGGACCCUAAACUCAUAACUUCAAUAUCAAAUGUGGCUUCUGGAAAUCUUGAUGUUUUUCUGUCAUCUUCCAUCUUUAUUCUCCAAUUACGUUAAUAAUCUUGAAAGCUUGUCAUUUGUAAAUCCGUUCUUUUUCCUAGCAGUAUAUAUUUCUAUGGAUCUAUGAAUAUCUUGUAUGGCAAACAAAUGUGCAGACUCAAUCCAAUCAGAGAGUUCAUUUCAUGCAUUUCAACAUGGUUGGCAUUCAUCCGAAGCUAAGCAUUAUCUAAAGAGUCCAGAGUAUGGAUGACGAAAACAGCAUAAACUUCAAAGAUUGAUUUCCUUAUGGAAAUAUAUAAAGCUUUAACCAAUUCCACAUUCCACGGAUUCAUUUUUUUUAUUCCUUUCUUGUUUCUUUGGUAUGGCUUUAUCUUGCUAUCCAUUAUUUUGUGGUCCAAGGGGCAAA